UUAGUGAACAUUGACACCGCUGGAAUCACUGCUCUAGAGGAAUUGCAUAAAAGUUUGUCUUCACAUGGAAAACAGGGUACUCAAAGAUUUUUGCAACGCUUGGAGUUGUAUGCAAGUGUUGUGAUGGGGUUGGAGGCGCCUGCACUAGUAAAUGGACAGAAUCUUGCAAUAACCUACAAUGUUUUCCUUGGAAAUCACACUGUACUAAGCAACAUCAAAUAUUUUAUGCUAAUUAAACAUAUAAAUAUAAAUAUACACAACAUUUCAAUG